UUGAAAUCCAGUAAUAAAGACAAAACCUGCAGGCACUAUAAGAAAAAAUGGCACAUCAAAUGUGAAUGCUAUAAGUUGCAGAAUAAGAAUAAGACAAUUGCUGCAAAUCAAAAGGGAAAACAACUAGAAAAAUCCGAUGAAGCCAGUGUUGUAGAAUAUGAGUAUAGUGAUGGAGAACUCCUUGUUGUUUUUUAUGGCAACUCCAAACCUUACGAGGAUUGGAUUCUUGAUUCAGGUUGCACGUUUCAUAUGUGUCCUAAUCGAAACUAGUUUUCAACAUAUGAAACAGUGUCCAAAGGUGCUAUGUUGAUGGGAAAUAAUGCAUCUUAUAAGAUAGUUGGUAUUGGAACAGUCAAAAUCAAAAUGUUUGAUGGGAUUGUCACAACACUUAACGAUGUGAGACACGUUCUAGAUCUAAAGAGGAACCUUAUCUCGUUGAGUACUCUUGAUUCAAAAGGGUAUAAGUAAAUUGGUGAAGGUGAAGUCCUAAAGGUUAGCAAAUGUGUUCUUGUUGUGAUGAAAUGGCAGAAAAGGUCUACCAAAUUAUAUGUCUUGUAGGAAUCCACAGUUACAGGUGAUGCAGCUGUUGCUACUUCUUUCUUAUUAGAUGGUGAUGUUACUAGACUUUGGCAUAUGCGUCUUAGGCAUAUGAGUGAGAAUGGGAUGAUUGAAUUGAGCAAAAGAAGACUUCUUAAUGGUUAGAGUAUUAGUAAACUGAAGUUUUGUGAGCAGUGCAUUUUUAGAAAGCAGAGGAGAGUCAAAUUCAUAAAAUAUAUUCACGACACAAAGGGGACACUUGAUUAUAUACAUUCUAAUAUAUAUGGGGACCAUCUAGGGGCCUUUUAAGGGAUGUGCUAGUUAUAUGUUGACUAUCAUUGAUGAUUUUUCCAGAAAAGUUUGGGUAUUCUUUUUAAAGCAAAAGAGUGAAGUGUUAGCUACAUUCAAGGAGUGGAAUAUUAUGAUUGAAAAGUAGAUAGGAAAGCAGGUAAAAUGUUUCCACACUGAUAAUGGCUUGGAGUUUUGUUAUGAUGAGCUUAAUGUUCUAUGUAAGUUAGAAGGAAUUGUGAGACAUCAUACAGUUCGUCAUACUCCAUAACAAAAUGGUGUGGUAGAACGAAUGAAUAGGAAUUUGAUAGAGAAAGUAUGUUGUAUGCUUUCCAAUGUUGGUUUGCCUAAGUCUUUUUGGGUUGAAGCUGCCUCUACAACUUGUUUUCUCAUUAAUCGCUCUCCUUCAACUGCUAUUGAAUAAAGGACUCCACGAGAGGUAUGGUCUGGUACUCCUGCUAGUUACUUUGAUUUGAAGAUAUUUGGAUGUCCUGCCUAUGCUCAUGUUGAUAAUGGAAAACUAGAAGCUAGAUCUAUAAAGUGUGUUUUCAUUAGCUAUAAGUCUGGUGUUAAAGGAUAUAAGUUAUGGUGUCCAAAAACCAAUAAAGUCAUAGUCAGUAGAGAUGUUAUUUUUGAUGAAAUUGCUAUGCUUCAUGACUCAUCUUCUAGAGAUUCUUGUGAUAAAGAGCAACAAAAAUCAAUCACAUAGGUGGAGUUUGAGAUUAAGUCAAGAUCCUUACUAGAGUCUACAUCUUAAUCUAGUUCAAAGAUGAAGAGUGAUGUUGCUACUCCCUCACCACCACCAACACCACCAUAGUAUUCUAUUGCUAAAGACAAGCCUAUAAGAGAUAUUAAACCUCCAUAGAGGUAUGCUGAGGUUGCUUUAUUUGCUUAUGCCUUAAAUGUGGUCGAAUGUAUUAAUUGCAGUGUAGAACCUUCUACCUACACAAAGGCAGUUAAUUGUGAUGAUUCUGGAAAAUGGAUGAUUGCCAUGCAGGAGGAGAUGGAGUCACUUCAUAAGAAUGACACAUGGAACUUAGUGAGACUACCUAAAGGUAAAAAGGUUGUUCGCUUCAAAUGGGUGUUCAAGAGGAAAGAAGGAAUACCAGGAGUUGAAGAAGCCAUGUAUAAGGCAAGAUUUGUUGCAAAGGGCUACAGUUAGAUUCCAAGUAUAGAUUUCACUUAUGUGUUUUCUCCAAUUGUAAAGCAUAGUUCGAUUCGAGCUUUGCUUGGUAUUGUGACCAUGCAUGAUUUUGAGCUUGAGAAAUUGGAUGUGAAUACAACAUUCUUACAUGGAGAACUUGAAGAGGACAUCUACAUGUAGCAACCUAAGAGUUUUAUAAUUUCAGGAAAGGAUGACUAGUCUGCCAAGCUUAAGAAUAAGUUCAAAGUAAGCAAGGUUGUCAGCAGGUAAGGAAAAGAAAAGGUGGGCUUAGAACCAGUAUACCCUAUAUUGUAUUCAGUAGUUAGUCUGCCAACCCUUGAAUUCUCUUGUGAUAGGAGUCUUAAGUAAAAAGUAUAUCUCUGCCCUUACAGCCAGUAGUCAGUCUACUCUUGAAUCCUCGGUGCUAGAGAUUGUAAGCGUGAUAAAGUCGAAGGAAGAAACAAACCCUUUACCAGCUAACCUUCUAAGGCUAGAUUUCAAAAACUUCUAUCAACUGGACCAAAGAAGGGAAUGACUGCUUUGAACAUGACUGUCUGAAAGGGUAGCAGCAAAGCGCAAUCUUUUUGCACUGAUAAUGCCGUUAUGCUUAGGCUUCGGUAAUCUCUUUUAAUCACCUGACAUCAAAGCUAAGGAAAGAUUUCACUAAAUUCAUUUUGUUUUGCUCUAACAAUUCAAACAAGGUUUUGUACCGAUCUAGUAACAAUGAUAUAUUCUCAGAAUUCUCCAUUGAUAAUUGAUAUGACAUGCUGUUUUUUCCAUUCAUUUCCUUUCAGGGAUCAGUCGCGGUCUUACAAACUAUACCAAUGGUAUGGAUGAAUCCGUUCAUUCAUCCAAAUGUGUAAAAGAUUCUAGCCGCACUUAAAAGCCGAGUACUCUACCAUUGAGUUAGCAACCCGAAUAAGAUAAAAUUCAAUUAAAAUAAUUAGAUGAUGACGUUCAUUAUAUGUCACGAAUUCCAUAUUCUAGUGCAAUGGGGUCUCUCAUGUAUGCUAUGGUUUGUUCAUGUCUAGAUUUAUCAUAUGUAGUCAGUGCAGUCAAUAUAUACAUGGCAAAUCCUGGUAAAGAACAUUGGAAAACAGUUCAAUGGAUUUUCAGAUACUUGCGUGAUUCUAUUGAUGUUUGUUUGCAUUUUGGGAAAACUAGAGAUGGAGUUGUUAGAUAUGUCGAUUUUGAUUUUGCUGGUGACCUUGAUAAAAGAAGAUCUCUUACAGGGUAUGUUUUUACUGUUGGUGGUUGUGCUAUCAAUUGGAAAGCUACUUUGCAGACAACGAUUGCUUUGUCUACUACAGAGGCCGAGUACAUGACUAUUACAGAGGCUUGUAAGGAAGUGAUUUAGUUAGAAAGACCAUUUUGGUGAAUUUAGUGACCACUUGUAGAUUAUCACAAUUUUUUGUGAUAGUCAAAGUGCUAUUUUUCUCACAAAAGAUCAAACGUUUCAUGAGAGGACAAAGCACAUUAACGUGCGGUAUCAUUUUGUGUGUGAUAUCAUUGCUCGUGGUGAUAGGCCAAAGUUAGCACCCAUGAUAAUCCUACUGAUAUGAUGACGAAGAUACUCCUUGUAGCCAAGUUUGAGCAUUACUUGGACUUGGUUAGCAUUCAUUGUUGAAUUACCCUUUGGGGUUUGUGGAAGAGGUGAAGAGUUUUUUUUUUUUUUUUUUAAGAUUGGAGUUUGUUUUUUUCAUUCUUUACAUUGGAAUUCGUGUCAAGGUGGAGAUUGUUAGAGUUUGGUGACCCAAUUUCCUUUUUUGGUCCAACCCUAUUGUUUUUUUCAAGUAAAAAAGAGAAAAAAAGGAAGAAGUAUUUAUUCAACAAUUUUUUAUAUAUAUAUAAAUAUUCCUUUUAUUACCCAUGGAAUUUGGCAUGAAUUGCUUUCUAUUCAAAAUUUUCUAAAAUUAUCCUAAAUAUUCUUGCAAAUAGUCUUAUGUUCUUUAGAAUAAAAAAAAUAUUUUUCUAAUUAAAAAAUCAUUUAAAAUUUUUUUGACAAAAAACAAUAUUUUGAGAAUUUAUUAAAAAGAUGUAUUUUUAGAAUAAAUUUAAGGUGUUUUAAGUUGUUUUAAGCCAAAUUUGAAAAUAUGAAGAAUACUUUUAAAAAAAAUUGUACUAUUUCUAAGUAUAGUGUACCUCAAUGAAAAAUAAACCCAUAAAAAUAUUCUUCAUAGUUGAUUUCUUAAACUAGAUUGUAUUCGUGAAAAUGAUUAACAAGAGAGCCUUCAACUACAAAUUUGUGAAGUAGACAAGCCAAACCCCAUUCUGUGAGAAGCCAAAGCUCUAAUUACGUGAACUCAAUUGCGCAAAUCGAGGCAAACCAGUAGAGGUGCGCAUGUAAAAGUUCAAACAUGCAGCAGAGAACACCUCACAACUCAAUAACAGACCUAUAAUUAGCUGAUAAGCAAGUAAGCCCAACCUAUUCACAAGCUAUCCAUUUUGCUUGCCAGCCAAAACCAUGAAUUUGGGCUCUCAAGAACCAAAUGAAUGAACUCCAAAAACCAUCAAAUAUCACACAAAAAAUAUAAGGUCAGAGGCUAUUGCGUCCUUCAGACUCAUUCCAACAUAAAAAUUAGUCAUAAGCAUUUCUGGGUAGUCUUAAUAAUCUGAGAUUCAUGCAAACCACAUAAUAAAAAGCAGAGAACAGACUUUAUUGUUGUGAUGUUCUUGCUUCAUAUCUAGUAGUGAAUCAUUUUCAGUCAAAAUUCAAACAACUCCUUUCGAACAAAGAAUUGACCAGAAGGCCCACCAUCAGGCAGCAGAGCCAAGCUCACGGGGCUUUCAGCACCUUCUUCAACAGUUAAGAUGCCAUUGUUGUAGUUCAUGUCAGUUUUGACAAAGCCAGGGCAGACACAGUUGAUGCAGAAAGUGGGGUACUUCCUGGCCAGAAUCCUUGUGCAGGCAUUCAAGGCUGCUUUGGAGACAAUAUAGGCAGAGAGAUAAGAGGGCCAGCUAUGAGCUUCUAAUAAUCCCUCUUUGAAAUCUUUUAGAAACUCUUUCAAAACCUCAUCCACCCUCUCCUCUGUAAGGUUUUGGGCAUCAUUUAAUACUCCCUUAGCCCAUUCAUUUAUAACAUUCUGCAACAACACAUCAAGAAAGGUAUUUCUCAAUUUGGAAACAGAAACUCCAGUUCUAAAGAAAGUAACUAUGGGAAAUGUUUCAUAAACUCUCUUCUCUAAUAUCUCAAAAAAUCCAUAGCUAACUUAACCUCUGGAGAGGGGUCGACCAAACUAGCCUCCCCACUCUUACCAGUUCCCAUCUAUUUGCAGUGAACAUGUGACCGUGUGAAGCCUGCGACUUGUCACCAAAGAAGAAGGCACAUUUAAUCAUCCACAAGAGAUGAUAUGUGCUUGUGAUUCAACUUUGUUGAAUUUCAAGUCAAAUUGCCCAGUGAAAAACUUGGUUGAACAUUUAAAGUGGGUGCCAACAAUCUAUUUCUGAAUGAGGGUUAAUGUUAUCUUUGUACCUUUAACUUCCCUGCAGAAGAGGAAACAUUAACGAUCCUUGGCGAAUCUGAUAGCUGGAGAAGGGGAGUAAGUGCUUCAAUGAUCCUCUUUGGCCCAUAAUAGUUUACUUUCAGGCAUUCUUCCGCCUGCUCGAAAGGCUCAAUCAUUAUUUCUUUCCAGUUGAUUUUUCCCAGUCCUGCCUGCAUUAUAGAAUAACAAAAAAACUCAAUCCCUUUGGUAGCCAUUACACUUCCUACUCCACCAACAAGAAAAGGAGAAGAGGAAAACCGUCUAUAAUUCCAGAGAUUUUCUUUUCAAGAAAAAGUAGAAGGAAAAUUCAACAUAAUGGGCAUUAAAAAUCUAAAUAUUGCUCUUUUUUCAACUUUUUAUAGGCUUUUCCCCAAAUAAAACAUAUGCACCCAAAGAAAGAACCUUUAUGUUGGGUGUUCUAUUCUGUAUACUUCUCCCAAUAAUCAUUUCAUGAAUGAUGUUUAAGCCUUCCCACCCCCAAGCAAAUUGCAUAUUUCUUUUUUGAAGUUCCAUCCACACUCACUACAUUUCAGGAAAGAAGGAAAUUGUACAUGGGAACUCACCUGAUCAGCAGCUACUGCUGAUCUGAAACCAUUAGGAUCUGUUACAAUUGUCCCAGCUAUCCCUGCAUUGUUCACCUGUCCAUCACUCAAACAUUUUUUGUUAUCAAAUUUUUAACAAUGUGUCAGUUUCCUUUUGAAGUUCUAAUCAAAGAGACAAAAGAAAAUGGCUACCUUCUCAAAAUAUCAAAAUCACCACAGACAUCCUAUCAAAAAGGCGACAACAUGAAAGCAAAAAUUGUGCUAUUGUGUAUGCUACACAAACCAUCAAUUCAGUGACUGUACAAGAACCCGGAAAAAAAGAAGGAAAAGUAAUCAAGAAAUGGGGGUUUCAACGAUACCAAGAUAUCAAGCUUCCCAAACUGGGUUUUGAUGGAGUCUGCAAGGGAAGCAAUGCUAGCAGGGUCCCCAACAUCAAGUUGAUGAAAACCCACAUUAGAGAGACCAGACCCCUUGAGAUUUUCAAGAGCUUCAACACCCAUCUUCUCAUUUCUAGCUGUUAACACCACUAUCACCCCAUUAGCAGCCAAUUGCCUACAUAUUUCCAAUCCAAUCCCUCUGUUUGCUCCUGUAACCACUGCAUAUCUGAAAUAGAAUAUAUAAGAAAAUAAGUAAAAUAGCUGUUGUAUAUGUGGCGAGAGAUUGUAAAAAGGGCAAGGAAGAAAAACCAAGUACCUCUUUGUUGCUUCAGCCAUUGUUUUUGAGAUGGGAAUUGUGUGUGGAGUAAGAAAAACUCGAGGGGAUUUCAGAUUUAUUUUAAGGUGUGAAAAAGAUUUGGCUUCUGGACAUUUAUCAUCAUAUCAAUUUUUACAAUCAAUGAGGACGAUUUUUUUCCUUUUGUAUUUUCUAUUUCCAGAAAAGUAAAUAGGGGAUUUAUUUCCUUAUGAUAUUGAUUGGAUAACUCACUAGUCAAAAUUGCUUUUGGAAACAAUAUGAAAUAGAAAACAUGUAAAUUAAACCAGAUUUGUGGCCUGCUAUUGAGGGUGGCAGAACAUGAAGAACAAAAAAAAAAAAAAAAAAAAAAACAGGGCAAGUGAGUGUGUGAUUUUGGGCUUGUAUUUGGGGUUUUACCUUGGAAAAUUGUUUUGGUAUUUUUGGUCUUGUAUUAUUGAUUGUGAAAUAGUGAAAACUAAUCCAUGGAUGUAGGUUGGUUUUGACCGAACCACAUAAACCUUUGUGUCUUGAUUAUCAUUUCUUUGGUGUUUGUGUGCAUAAGUUCUUCUUUGUUGUGUGGGUAGUUUUGCAGUUGCAAGGAGUUUGUGCAUUGUAUUGAGUUGGUUGAUUAUUUCUUCUUCAUAUUCCCAUAAUUGGUGUAGUGAACGUGGAAUUAUUGAAGAUGGCUACAACUAAGUUUGAGAUGCAACAAUUCAACAGCAAGGGAGACUUCAGCAUUUGGUUGUAGCAUAUGAGAGCAAUCUUGGUUCAACAAAAGGUUCCUCAAGCACUACAAGGAGAAAAGAACCUUCCAAGCACCAUGAUAGACACAAAGACGCUCAAAACGACAUAUAGCACUAUAUAUGAUCUUGUAUCUUAGUGACAGUGUUUUAAGAAGUGCAACAAGGAGACAACUAUAGUAGGCUUAUGGCUAAAGUUGGGGAGUCUUUAUAUGACAAAAUCUCUCAUGAAUCGGAUUUAUUUGAAGGUAAAACUAUUUGGGUUCAAGAUGCAGGAGGACAAGAAUCUUGAUGAGAACCUCGAUGAAUUCAAUAAGUUGGUUAUUAAAUAGGAGAACAUUGGAGAAAAAAUCAACGAUGAAAAUUAGACGAUCAUAUUAUUGAACUUGUUACCAUCAACCUACAGUCAACUUCGCGAUACCAUUAAGUAUGGUAGGGAUACAUUGUCCUUUGAUGACUUGGAAUCGGCUAUCAAGUCUAAAGGGAAUUGAGGGUAGAGAAAAAGACAAAUAGUCGCAACAAGCUCUUAAUGUUCGAGGUAGAAUGGAGAAAAGAGACAAAAAGAACAAAGGUAAAUCAAGAUCCAAAUUGUAGAGAAAGUUCAAGUGUUAUCACUGCAACAAGAAGGGUCACAUAAGGAGAGAGUGCCUUGAUAGGAAGAAAAAGUCAAAUGAUAAGCAGGAAUCUGGAGACACAUCAGUGGUGUUGGGUGGUUAUGAAUCAAUAAAGGUACUUGUUCACUCAACACAAGAUACUCAUAAAGAGUGGGUUUUAGACUUUGGGUGCUCAUUUUAUAUGAGUCCAAAUUAUGAGUGGUUUCAAACAUUCAAGGAAAUUCAUGGAGGGACCGUCUUACUUGGCAACAACAAGGCAUGUAAGAUAUGAAGAAUUGGAUCCAUUAAGUGUGAAUGUUUGAUGGUUGUAAUAGAGUGCUACAAAAUGUACAGUAUGUUCCAGAGCUUAGGAGAAAUUUAAUUUCUCUUGGGAUGCUUGAUUCGAUAGGUUGUUCUGUCAAAAUUGAAAACGGGGUGAUGAAAGUUGUGAAAAGUGCAUUAACCGUGAUGAUAGAGGUUCUUUCAAAUGGUUUAUACUCUUUUAUUGGUUCAACAGAAUAUGAAAUUACAUCAUCUGUUGUAAUAGAAUAUUAGGAUGACACAACGAAUAAGACUAUUUUAGCAAAUGGUGAGAAUUUCACAAUAGAACGCAAAAUCGUCUACAAAUGAGAGUAAUAAAUCUAAUUUAUGCCACAAGAGGCUAGGGCAUGUAAGUGAGAAAGGUCUAAAUGAGUUGUAUAAAAUGGGGCUGCUUGACAUAAAAAAAAAAAAAAAAACCCUCGGGAAUUUAGAGUUUUGCGAACAUUAUGUGUAUGGUAAAAGUCAUAGGGUGAAGUUUAGUAAAUCAAUGCAUACAACUCAAGGGAUUCUAGACUAUGUUCAUGCGAAUCUCUAGGGUGCAAUGCAAGUUCAAUCCCAUGAUGGAGGCAAGCAUUUUUUUUAUAUCUCAACAACACUAAAAGGAUGAUUAUCAAUUAGUAAGAGACAAGUAGAGAAGAGUUAUAAGACCACCUUAGAAGUAUGGUUAUGAAGACUUAGCAGCUUUUGCUUUUACAGUUGCUAGUGAGUCUCUAAAUCAAGAACUAGAAAGCUAUCAACAACCAAUGAGUUGUGAUGACAAAGAAAAAUGGUAGAAGGCCAUCGAAGAUGAAAUUGAAUCCUUAUAGAAGAACAAGACUUGGAUUUUGGUGGAGAAACCAAAAAAUAAGAAGUUUGUUGACUGUAAGUGGAUUUAAAAGAAGAAAAAUGUUAUACCAGGAGUAGAGAAAACACGACACAAUGCCAGGAUGGUUGCUAGAGGCUUUACACAAAAAUAAGGAGUGGAUUACACAGAGAUAUUCUCUUUAGUGGUGAAACAUAGUUCAAUCCAGAUUUUGCCAACUAUGGUGGCACAUUUUGACAUGGAGCUCGAGCAAAUGGAUGUCAAAACAAUGUUUUUUUAUGGUGAGAUUGAGAAGACUAUUUACAUGAGGCAACCUAACGGUUUUGAAAUUAAAAGCAAGGGAGAUAAGAUUUGUCUAUUAAAUAAAUCAUUGUAUGGUUUGAAACAGUUCUCUCGACAAUGAUGCUUUGAAAGAAGCCAAUUUAAUAAUUGUGAUUACUUCAAGAAGAAAUUAGGUGCUAGUAAUGUCUAUCUUCUAUUGUAUGUUGAUGACAUGUUGUUGGCAAGUUGUGACAAGGCAUCGAUUGAUGAUAUGAAGAAACAACUGAGAAGAAGAUUUGAGAUGAAGGAUUUGGGACCUACCCAAAGAAUACAAAUAGAAAAAGGAAGAAUUUUACUAAAAAAUGGUAUGUUAAUAAGGUGUUGGAGAGGUUUGGCAUGAGUCAAGCAAACCUGUUAGCACUCCACUAGCACAACACUUUAAAAUGACAAAAGAGAAUUCACCUAAGACUGAGAAAGAAGUCAAGUACAUGGAAGAAAUACCAUGUGCUAGUAUUGUUGGUAACAUCAUGUAUACAAUGGUAUGUAGUAGGUCGGAUUUGGCCUAUGCUGCUAGCAUGAUAAGUAGAUUUAUGUCAAAUCUAGGAAAGAAACAUUGGAAUGCAGUGAAAUGGGUCCUAAGGUUUUUGAAAGGAUCUACUGAUGUUGGAAUUCUUUAUGGAGGUGGAGCUGUUGGAGAGUUAGGUGUUGUUUUAGGUAUGUAGAUUCUGAUUAUAUAGGAAGUGUGGACACAAGGAGAUCUUUGACAAGAUAUGUUUUCACAUUGUUUGUUGGAACUAUAAGUUGGAAGUUAGUCUUCAAUCCAUGGUGAUUCUAUCCUUGAUUGAAGUUGAAUAUGUAGCUCUUACAGAAUCUUUGUGGGUUAAGGGGAUAAUUGGUAAGCUAGGGUUAGCACAUAAGAUAUUGACAGUUUAUUGUGAUAAUCAAAGUGCAAUUUGCUUGACAAAGAAUAUCAUAUUUCAUGAAAGAACGAAGCAUAUAGAUGUUUCCUAAGAGAUGUGAUGUCGAAAUGUGAAGUUCUGGUUGAGAAGAUUCAAAUGGAUGACAACCCAACUGAUAUAUUGACGAAGACAUUGGCAACUAUCAAGUUCAAGCAUUGCUUGAGCUUGAUAAAUAUUUUGGGCAGUUGAGAGAAGAUGGAGUAGCAGCAGUUGGAUGAUGACUUCGAAGCCAAGUGGAGAUUUGUGAAAAAGAUUUGGCUUUUGAACAUUUAUCAUCAUACCAAUUUUUACAAUCAAUUAAGAAGAUUUUUUUUCCUUUUGUAUUUUUUGUUUCCAAAAAAGUAAAUAGGGGAUUUAUUUCCUUAUGAUAUUGAUCAGGUAAGUAAUUAGUCAAAAUUGCUUUUGGGAAAUAAUAUGGAAUAGGAAACACGGUGUAAGUCAAACCAGAUUUGUGGCUUACUAUCGAGGAUGGCACAACAUGAAGAAGAUAAAAAAUAAAAUAAAAUAAUAAUAAUAAUAAUAAUAAUAAUAAUAAGGCAAGUGAGUUUGUGAUUUUGGGCUUGUAAUUUGGGGUUUUACCUUGGGAAAUUGUUCUUGUAUUUUUGGCUUUGUAUUAUUGACUGUGAAAUUGUGAAAACUAUUGCUACAAUCCAUGGAUGUAGGUCGGUUUUGACCGAACCACAUAAACCUUUGUGUCUUGAUUAUCAUUUCUUUGGUGUUUGUGUGUGUGAGUUCUUUGUUGUGUGGAUAGUUCUGCAGCUGCAAGGAGUUUGUGCAUUGAAUUGUAUUAAGUUGGUUGAUUAUUUCUUCUUCAUAUUCCCACAUAAGGAUUGUUUACAUUUUCAACUUUGAUAUUUCGUGAUUAAGUGUAAUGAUUAAAGAGGAUUGGUCAGGAAUCUACAUAGAAAAGGGUUAAGCUUGGACAAGAUAUCCUGAACUUCUUCUUGGAAGGAAUCUGACGGAGAAAACUAGGGAACCCAAGAACCAAAACAAAUUAAAGAUGUUGAGCCAAAAGAAGGGAGAUGAACUUUCCCUCAACAGGCUUCUAACAUUUAUUUCAAUUCUAAGAUAUAUUUGAGUUCCAUGAAUUAGCAGAGAGAAAAAAUAAUGCAUAUUGUUGCGAUAGCUUUAUAUGAAAUCAUUACUAUUUUAGGAUUGAAUUUUAUAUUUAAUAUUUUUAUUUUAAAUUAUUUUUAUUAAAAAAUAAGAAUAAUUUUCAUUUAAAAAAAAAUUAAAUUAAAUAAAUUUUAUUUAAUACAAGUCUUAAAAGUCUUGAAGUGUUUAUAGACCUUUCUUUAAGUAUUUCAACAUAAAUAAAUAAAUAAAUUUCAAAACUCAUUCUCUAGAUGUCAUUUGUUUUCCAAAUUAAAAAAUAUUAAUAGCUUAUUCUAUUUUGUAUUCCGAUUAACAUCUUCCAUAUUUAUUUAUUUAUUUAGUAGAUUUGCAAAUUGAUGAUUAUACUCAUCUAUUGCUCUUUAUUGAUUUUAUAAUUUUAAAACUAUUAUGAUGUAUGAAAUUUUAUUUUGAUUAUAAAAAAUUUUAAAAACCAACAUGAAAAAUAUUAAAGUUUGUCUUCCAUGUCAUUGAAUUGCACAAAAAUAUAUUUUCACAUGUGUUUCUCACUUUCUCAUAUUCUAAUAUAGCCCUCAAUUAUUAGUUUACGAGCAUCAUACAUAAUUUAAUUAGUAAGAAAGAAGAAGUAAAAAAUAAAAAUAAAUCAAAUUUAAUAAUUUUCUUUUACAUUCUUGUAUAAGUUUUUAAGAUUUUUCUCUUUAUAUUUUAUUUUAUUUUUCUUCUAUUUGUUUUAGAUCUUCAUAAAUAUUUUUUUUUUAUUGCUUGCAUUAUUUAAACAGAAUGUCACUAUAGCUAAUUUGAUCAAUUGAAUGCUAAUUAAGAAUAUCAAAUUUAUUAUAGUAAUUAGUAAUUAUUAUUAUUAUUAUUAUUAUUAUUAUUUUGUAAUAUUUUCAAAAGAAUAAAUAAACUAGUCAAUGUGUAUGUUAAUUAGACUUCAAAGCAUUAAUCACUUGAAUGUCAUUUUUACAUUUGGUCUUUUUUGUUUGAGGAGCUUAUUAUAUAUAGAUAAUUAUAAACUUUUUUCUCUAACCAAUAUGAGAUAUCACAAUCAUACUUUGGUGUAGGUACAGUGUCUUCAUUGUGUUUUUUAUGGGUUAGACAAUUAAUGCCCCUUACAAAGCUAGAUAAAUUGACUUAUAUGCUUUCGUCAAGGAUCAUCUUUAAAAUCAUUUCUAACAAUAAACUUCCUCUCCUAUAAAUAUUAUUUGUUUUAAGUUAUGAAAAUCAAUCUUUGACUCCAAUGCAAGGUUGUAUACGACCAUGUAAUCUCAUGAAAUAUGACAAGAAUGUUAUGUUUAUAUGAGAAGGGAAGAAAUGAUUGAAAUAUUUUACAUCAAUUGGGAGAAGAUGUUGACAUUAUGUAUGUAGUAGAUUUUUUUAAUUAUAUAAACAUAUUUUAAAAUCAUAAGGGUCUACUAAGAAACAACAAAUAUGUAAUAUCUACAUGAAAAUGAUCACAUUGUUAUAAAUCGACAAAGUCUAUAUUUGAUACCAAUGUAAGGCUUUGUUUAUCUAAUCCCAUAAGGGGUGCAUGUCUCUCUAUCUUUUCCUACAAUCCUAAAAGACACAACAGUGACAUUACAUAUACUCCUCUUCAUGUCUGUGUGAAGAGGUAAUUGUGAUGAUAAAUAUUGAAUAGGGAGAGUUCUCGUUACUACAUUUAUAUAAUAUGUUCUUCUUAAUUAAUAUGUAGAUACAUUUUUAAAAAGUGGAUCAAGAUGUAUAAUAUCUAAAUAAAAGGUAGUAUAUAAUCAUUUCAUUUACUUGGUGAAGUCCUAGAAUUAUAACUUUAACUAACAAUAAAAAUAAAAGAUUAGACUCAACCAAUUCACAAGUUAUUCGUGUCACUAGCUGGCCAAAACCAUCACUUUAAGAGCCAAAUGAAUGAACCAUCAAAACCAUAAAAUAUGACAUUAUUGGUUUAUUUGAUAUUGUUUUCAAAACUUGCCCUUGAAUUUUAUAAUUGGUUUCUCUACUUAUUCUUCAUGAAAGUAGAAUGUAUUUAUAUAUAACACAAAAAUUGCUAAAAUAUUCUCUAUUUUUUCAAUUGUUACUCAUAACAUUUUAGAAAACAGCUCAAAUUUGUUCCAAAUUAAUAAGCACCUUCUUUUCUGAACAAGUAAAAAAAGAAGGAAAAAACACUAUUUUCCUGCAUAUGUAAGAUCACAUACCAUUAUGUGCUUAUAAAGACAUUCAUGCAAACUAUAUGAGAAGUAAUAGACAGUCAGUAUGCUAUGAUGUUCUUACUUCAUAUCUCGUAAUGAAGCAUUUUCAUUUAAAAUUCAGUCACUUCCUUCCGAGAAAAGAAAUGGCCAGAAGGGCCCCCAUCAGGCAACAGAGCUAAUUUCACCGGGCAUUCAGCACCUUCUUCAACAGUUAAGAUGCCAAUGUUGUCGUUGAAAUCUGUUUUGACAUAGCCAGGACAGACACAGUUUAUGCAGAAAGCCGGAUACUUGGUGGCCAGAAUCCUUGUGUAUGCAUUCAAGGCUGCUUUCGAGACCGUAUAUGCAGCGUAAAAAGCAGACCAGUUUUUAGCUUCUAAUAAUCCCUCCUCGAAAUCUUUUAGAAACUGGUUCAACACCUCAUCCACUCUCUCUUCCGUAAGGUUUUCAGCAUCACUUAACACUGCUUUUGCCCAUUCAUUCGUAACAUUCUGGAACAACACAAGAAGAAAAGUAAUGUAAGUUGGGAAGUGCUUGAUGGACUCCCUCUUAAUCAUUCCCAGGAGACCAUUUUCUGGUUGGAAAUGAAAGAAAAGAAGAUCGAAUGAUUCACAGAAACAAAAGGCACUGUCAAUCAACCCUUUUCUUCCAAACAAACCAAGAUGUGUAACGAAAAAUUCAGUAUAUGUCAAACCAAAAUCAUGUGGUUUCGAUUCAACUCAUGUCUAGUUGCAAACAUGGUUGAAUAAAGUAGAUAUAUAUUGUAAUAUCCGGGUUUUUAAAGACCCGUCAGAUUCUUAAAGUAUAAAGUCUUUCAUAAAAUUAUGGGUCAAAUAGUCAAAAAGAGUAGUGAAGAUCUACGUAUUAAUAUUUAAUUGGGAAAGAUUUUGGAAAAAUUAGUCAAAAAUCAAUAGUUUGAAAAUUUUGUCACGUCAAACAUUAGAAAUUAAAUUUAGAUUUGGAGAAAAAUUUAACCAUCAAAUAAUUGAGAUUAAGUUUUGAAAUUUUGAAUUUUAAGUAUGUUACGGGAAUUAAUUUAAUUAUUAUUUAAUAAUUAUCAAAAAAUCAUAGUAAGAAAAACUUUGUAAAAAUUUAUAUUAUAUCAAAUUGUUAUAAUAGAUAAUUAAAAAGAAAUUUAAUUUAAUUUUGUAACGAAUCAAUUUAAUUCUUAUAAUUAAAAUUAAACUUUAUAGAAUUACAAAACAUUAAACAGAGUUAAAUUGAAAUUAAAUUAUGAUAUGUGAAUUUGGAAAAGAUAUACAAAAGGGGUAAGUUAAUUAAAUGUGAAUUUUAUGAAUUUAACUUUUGAAAUUUUGAUGUGAUUUAAUAAUUUGACAAAUGAAGUAAAUUAAAUAAAAAUUAUAUCAAAGGGUUAAAAAAUUGAUUUUUAUAAAUUGAAUGACUAAUUAAUUUAUGAAAUUAAGUUUUAGAAUAUUACUUAAAUUUUUGUUGGUAAAUAAAUACUGGUAAAAUUAAUGGGUUAAGGGUUAUUACAAAUUUCAACUUCUUUGUUGCCAAAAAAAAAAUUUUAUAUUUUCAAUAUUUUAUGGAAUUGAAUUUUGUUAAUAGUUAAUUAUAUUAUGUUUUAAGUGAAUUUUAGAGUAGAAAUAUUUUAGGUAAUUAAAGUCAAAUUAUAUUUUUUUCAAGAGUAGGCUUGUAGUAAAUUUAAUUGCAAAUACGAUAAUAUUUUUCUUGAGACGGAAAAUUAUAAGUUAAGUGUAAUUUAUAAUUGUGAAGUGUGAAGUAAAUAAUGGUAGUUUAAUUUAUUAUUAAAAGAAAGGAAUGGGGAGGCAGGUGCAGGGGAGAUGCAGGGUCCACGUGUCUCCAUCUAUCCGACAGUGAAAUGACCUUCAAUCGUAAUGAAAUUUCAGACGAUGAUAAUCUUCAACGUGGUGAACACUUCUAUAGAGUUGAAUUUUCAAUCCCAUGGUUGGAUUUUACUAUAUAGGUAGGGAUGUGUUUUUCCUAAAUUUCUCUCGAGUUUUUUUGAACUUUUAUUUACUUUCAAAAAACUUCAUGGAAAUGAAUUAAGCAACUAAAAUUUGGGAAUUUGAAAUUCAAAUUCCCUAUCUUCACCUAUAAAUAGAGGUGUCUUCGAUCAAGAAGGAGAAAAUUGAGGAAUCAGAAAAAUCCAGAAAGGAAAAUCCAAGGAGAAAAUCCAAAGGUAACUUCGUACGGGAAAAGGGGUUUCACAACAAAAGAAGCUUCAUCAAAUCUCCCUAUAAGUUCGGUAAAUGGGAAAAAAAAAAAAAAAAGAACUGCUACACACGUUCUUUGUCAUUCAAUAAGGUCAUUCGGGAAUAAACCACUUGUGGCCCUCGAUUGAUCUUCGAAAUCAAAAAAACGUCAUCGUCAUCUUCCAAAGUGUGAUCAAAGUAAAAGAAUUAGAGGGAAAAUAUUCUUUUAGAAAGAAUAUUAUUUUUCUGAGAUUGUACCCACAAUAUAUUUUUAAUUUCAAUAAAUAUUUUGUUCACAUUAUUUUCCUAUUUUGUUUUGCUAAUUUGGCAGGACCAAAAUUUAAGCAAUUUGUGCGUACAAUUGGUUUUGGAAAAAAUAAAAUAAUAUGUUAUAAUAAAUCUUAAUUUAAUAAGUUUAUUUAGGAUUAGACGCUUUAAUGAAAAAAAAAAAAAAACAAGGUGUUUUGAUUGAUUGCCAACGUGGAUAGGAAUAACCAAUGUUUUCAAAAUCGGACCGAUCAUUGAACCGAAAAACCAGACCUAUCAUUGAACCAGAAAAGUUACCAGUUCACAAUUCUCUAGUCGAAUCGUGGUCAAACCAAUGACGUCAUAAAUAUAUAAUUUAUAAAUUAUUAAAUUUUAAAAUAAUUAUAAAAAAAAUAAUAAUUUAUAGAUUAUUUAAAAAUUAAAAUUUUAUUUGAAAAUCAAAAAAUUAGUUUCAAAUUUAAAAUUUAAAUUAAAAUCAUAAUUUUAAUUUACAAUUUUAAAAUUCAUUUUUAAAUUAAAAAAGAAAACUUAUUUUAAAAUCAGAAAUUGAUUUAAAAUUGUAAUUUUUUAUUAAUUUAAAUUAAAAUCAUAAGUUUUAAACAUGAAGUAAAAAAAUAAUAAAUAUAUAAAUAAAUAAAUAAUAUAGAGAUGAGACAAAAAAUAAUAAUUUUAAAAAUAAAUAAAUCUGGAAGAAGGGAUGAGAGGGUCGGGCAAAAAGAUGAUACUUUUUCCAUUGUGGGGGUUCCAAUGGGGGUCGCUAGGAGGGGGGGGGUUUCCUCCAGCAGCAGCACGAGGUGGGGGGNNNNNNNNNNNNNNNNNNNNNNNNNNNNNNNNNNNNNNNNNNNNNNNNNNNNNNNNNNNNNNNNNNNNNNNNNNNNNNNNNNNNNNNNNNNNNNNNNNNNGUUUGGGGGGUGGGGGGAGAAGGGGGUUGGCUUUUCCAACGUGGGGUGUGGGCGAGGGUUCUUGGGGGUAGCAUGGGGGAGUGGGGGGUUGGUUUCCACCAACAGUAGCACGGGGUGGAGGGAUGGGGAAGGGGGUUCCUACAAAAUAAGGGAAUGACCUUUUCCAAUGGGGGUUGUGGGGGGGGUUUUCUGGGGAUCACAAAGGAGAGUGGGGUCCAGCCUCCACCAACAGUAGCAGGGGGUGGGGGUGGGGGAGGGGGUUUCUAGCAAGGUCGUGGAAGGACGGGGUUUCCAGCACGGGCGUGUGUUCCGACGAGCAAAAAAGAGAAGCUUUUCCAACGCAGGGGUCUUGCGGACGGGGGCCGACGACAAUGGGAGGAAAAAAAUAAUUUUAAUCAAACCCAUCGGUUCGAAGAGAACUGGACGGUUCGUCCAAUUUACCGGUUGGAUCGCCGGUUCAAACGGUCCAACCCCAGUUCAAUGCCAUUCCAGUCCAAUUGACCGGGCCGGACCGGAACCGUGACCAGCCGACGGUCGAACCAGUCGGACUGGCUGGUCCAAUCCGAUUUUUAAAAUCAUGGGAAUAACCCUUAGGGUCAAACCUUUGACCUAUGGUCACGAGUUGAGUUGUGGGUUACCCCGAAGCUAGGGCAUGACAUAUAUAUAUACCAACAUUUUUAUUUCUAAAUUGAAUGAGGGUGGUUGGUGUUAUGUUGUACCUGCAACUUCCCUAGAGAGGAGGAGACGUUAACAAUCCUUGGUGAAUCUGAUAAUUGGAGAAGAGGAAUGAAAGCUUCAGCCAUCCUCUUUGGCCCGUAAUAGUUUAUUUUCACGCAUUCUUCCGCCAGCUCCAAGGGCUGAGUCAUUAUACCAUGCCAGUUGACUUGUUCUCCUGCCUGCAAAACAAAAUGAAGAAAAUCUCAAUCUUCUCAGUAGCCAUUCGGAGAAGAAGAAAACUGCUUCUGGUACAUAUAUAACGAGAUUUUCUCCCAUAAUUCUAGAAAAAUUUUCUUUCUUUAAAAUUGUAUAUGAAAACUUAUCUCGGUAGCAGCAACUCCCGAUUCUAAAGCAACAGGAUCCUUUACAAUCGAUCCACUCAUCCCUGCAUUGUUCACCUGUCCAGUAUCCCAAGAAUUAUUCAGCUCCAAAAUUUUCAGGAAUCAUUGGGGAAUUCAUUGGGAAAUCCAUCUCACAAAACAUAUAUAUAUAUAUAUAUAUAUAGAUGAGCACAAUCUAAAGUACCGGAAUUCACAGCUAAAAUUCUUCUUAGGUACUGUUUUCGUGGAUGUGAGGAGGAUAGUUGAUACGGGAGAGAAUCAAAAUAAACAUCACUCAAUCAUAUAGGUUACGAAUGCAAUGUUCUAAAUGAAUUGCCAGAAGAAGAACCAAUAAAACAAAAAAGAUGGAAAAAAAAAAUCAUCAAGAAAUGAUCAGGGUUUCAAUCUUACCAAGAUAUCAAGCUUCCCAAACUGGGUUUUGAUGAAAUCUGCAAAAGAAGCAAUACUAGCAGGGUCCCCAACAUCAAGCUGAUGAAAAACCAGGUUAGAGAGACCAGAUCCAUUGAGACUUUGAAGAGCUUCAACACCCCUCUUUUCAUCUCUAGCUGUUAACACCACUCUCACCCCACUGGCGGCCAACUGCCUACAUAUUUCCAACCCCAUCCCUUUAUUUGCUCCUGUAACAACUGCAGACCUGAAAUUCAAUACACUAGAAAAAUAAGAAAACCAGUUGUUAUAUAUGUGCUUGCAGAUUGUGAAGAGGGGACAUGGGAGAUCAACCAAGUACCUUGUUAUUGCUUCAGCCAUUGUCUGUGAGAUGGUAAAGUUUGAUUAAUUAAUUCACUCUUAUAGCAAGAAUGCUGCUAAAGUUUUCAACAUUGAUAUUUUGAUAGGAAAUUGACGUUUGCGGUCAUAAAAGCAAGGCAGAUGAUUUUCUGGAUAGAGAUAAGACGCAUGUGGUCAUAAAAGACGCUCAUGUAAUAAUAAAGAUUGAUUUUUUUUCAUAUAGGAAAAUGACAUUGUGACAUCAUGGAUGACGCUUUGGAUAGUAAACUACGUCUAUGAUGUCACUAACGACGUUUUUUACAAGUUUCAACCAAUGAAACAUCAUUAAUUUAAUUUUUUUUAAUCAUGUCAUGUGGUCAUAUAUAAAAGCAAGCACAAUAUUAUUAUUGUAAUGAAAAUUGAUAUUCUUAUAUUAUAUAAUCCAAUGACUAAGUCAAAAAUUAAAUUAGACGGUUGGUUUUCAUUUCUUAUUUUUUUGUGGUACUCAUGAUUGAAUAUAAAUAAAUUUAAUACUAGUUUGAAUUGUUUAAAAAAUAAAACUUAAAAAGAAAAUGGUGUUUCAUAAUUGUAUAACUGUUUUGAGAAUUGUUAUAUGAUGUAAGUAUAUAAUCGUUUUAAAAUUUUUGAAAUAUGGUUUUUUUAGAAAAAAUAUGAAAUGUUUUUCAAUCAAAUCAUUUUUAUGGGUUAUUAUUAAAUAUAAUUGAGAUUAUGACAAGCACGUAUUUGAGAUUUUUUUUACAUUCAAAUUCUUAGAUAUAAUCAUGUUAGAAUUAUUUUUAAGAAUAGUUAUUAAUAAGAUAAAAAUCCCUAAAAUUUUCUAUUAUACUAAUUAAAAAAAAAAACUCCUUAUUGUAAGGUCAGUAAAUAAGAAAUUGACUAUAAUUUAAAAAAAUAAAAAAUCUUCUAUUUAAAAAAGAACAAUUUGGUUUUAGAACAAAUACUGAUAAAAACUAGUUUCAAUUGUUCAAGAAUCCAAGAUCACAAGUCAUUAUGCAGUUAGAAAGACAUUCCAACAUAAAAAUUAGUCACCCUACAAAUCUAUGCUCACAUGCCAUAUGUACUAACAAAGCAUUCUAGCAUAAAAAUUAAUCAUAAGCAACCUGGGAUUCAUACAAAUUAUAGAGAAGCCAUAAACAGUAUCUCUGUGCUAUGAUGUUCUUAGUUCAUAUGUAGUAAUGAAUCUUUUUCAGUUAAAAUUCAGACACUUCCUUCCGAACGAAGAAUUGGCCGGAAGGCCCCCCAUCAGGCAGCAGAGCCAAUCUCACAGGGCUUUCAGCACCUUCUUCGAUAGUUAAGAUGCCACUGUUGUAGUUUAGAUCUGUUUUGACAAAGCCAGGACAGACACAGUUGAUGCAAAGAGUAGGACACUUCCUGGCCAGAAUCCUUGUGUAGGCAUUCAAGGCUGCUUUUGAGACUGUAUAGGCAGAGACAUUAGAGGGCCAGCUUUUAGCUUCUAAUAAUCCCUCUUUGAAAUCUUUUAGAAACUGGUUUAAGACCUCAUCCACCCUCUCUUCUGUAAGGUUUUCAGCAUCACUUAACACUGCUUUUGCCCAUUCAUUCUUAAUAUUCUGGAACAACACAAAAAAGAAAAUUAAUGUAAGCAAAAAUACGACUUGGGGAAAUGCUUCAUUGACUCCCACACAAACAAAAGGCAACAGCCCUUAAUCAUUCACAGCAGAUGAUUUCCAGGAAAAUAAGCAAGUUAUGUGCAUUAUAUAAUAGUAUGCAUUACCUCAAUAUUAUUAAUUACACUUACCAAACAGCAUCAAUCAACCCUUUUCUUCAUAUGGUUUUCUUCUAAACAAAUCAAGAUGUGACAAGUAGAUCUUCCAUCACCAAUCUAAAGUUCAAUAAGCUUACAAAAAUAUUUUGCUCUGUUGACUCAAUCAAGGCAUCUUUUGAGUGGAGCUGUAAUGAAAAAUUCACAACGAAACUUGAUCCUUCCAAGUUUCAAACUGAAUCAUUUGGCUCCAAUCCAACUCUACUGAAUUUCAUCAAAUUGCCCAAUUACAAACAUGGUUGAACAUCUUAAGUAUAUAUCAACAUUGUAUUCUGAAUGAGGAUUAGUGUUAUUUUGCACCUGCAGCUUUCCCAUUGAGGAGGAAACAUUGACAAUCCUUGGCGAAUCUGAUAACUGGAGAAGAGGAAUGAAAGCUUCAAUCAUCCUCUUUGGCCCAUAAUAGUUUAUUUUCAGGCAUUCUUCCACCAGCUCGAAAGGCUCAAUCAUUAUUUCCUUCCAAUUGACUUUUCCUACUGCCUGCAAAAUAAAAUGAAGAAAAUCUCAAUCCUCUUGGUAGCCAUUAUAUUCCCUACUCCAACAUAAAAAGAGAAGAAGAAAACUGCUUCUGGUAUGCAACAAGAUUUUCUUCCAUAAUUCUAGUUUCUAGAAAAGAUUUUCAUCUUCCUUUCAAGAGAAGGUAGAAGAAAAACUCAACAGCAUGGGGCCUUAGAAGUCUAAAUGUUGCUCCUUUUCAACUUUCAAAUAUACCCCAAUGGCUAUUAGAAUUUCAAAUCCACUCUUCUUUGAACUUACAACCACAAUCAAUUGCUUUAAGCCAAUAAAGAAAUUGUGUAUGAUACCUUACCUCAGCAGAAGCAUAUCUUGACCUUAAAGCAUCAGGAUCCGUUACAACCGUUCCACCUAUCCCUGCAUUGUUCACCUGUCCAGUAUCACACAUUUCUAUUAUCCAAUUUUUAACUAUAAAAGAACAAAAAAAUAAAGAAAUAAAAAGAAAGUUAUUAGAUACCUUCCAGCUAUUUAGAGGUCCUCCAUUCCUCAAGAAAUAUUCACUUCAAAAAUUUUCAAAGAAUCAUGGUGGAUAAGGAGAGAUUUGUUUUCUCAAGUGCAAACAUAUAUGGAAUUCAUUGGCAAAUCCACCUCAUAAAAGUUUAUGCAACUCCAUAUGGAUUGAUGGAUAUAAAAAAGAGAGAAAAUGAUGGAACCGAGGAGAGUAAAUAGGGCACUGGUUUAUAGUGGAAUAAGUAUAAUGAUAUACAAUCUGGACAUUACACAAUACAAAAAUUCUACUUGUGGGAACGGUCAAACCAAAGGACACAUGUUAUACGAAGAGACACGAGUCAUUUGGCGAUAGGGAUUUCAAUGGCAAUGACCUAGAAUGACCGCCCUGCUUUGAGGCAACCAUUGCAACAAGAUGUGAACCUUUCCCCUCUUAGGAUGGCAGACAUUGCAUCUAUUGUGACGAGAUAAACAAUAAAUGCUAUUAACUCCUCCUACAUUGCAUCAGAAGAACCUUCAACAUAAAUUAUGAAGCUAUGAUAGUUAAUCAAGGACAAGAUUAGGUGAUCAAUCACUCAGCUAUAGAAUGGAGCAGACAGCUCAAUAACUGGUGGGAUCAGACCCACCAAAUCAGUGCAACCCUGAAUGAUAUAAAGACCCACAAGGGAAGGGGGAUUUCUCUAUUUUGAAUUCCUUCUCUUACCAAUUUAUCUAUUUAAGCCCUUGAGAUGCCCAUCAUCGACUUGAUCCUCAGAAAAGAAUUGACCUAACUGGCCUCCCCACUCUAACCAUGCAUUUUAGUGUUAUAGAGGAAGGCUCAUCAAUAAGAAAGGUUAGCAACUUGCUUGGAGGGUGAAACUCUACUCAGACAGAAAACUUUAGUUUUUAACAUGGACUAUGUAGCAUAUAUUUGGAUAAGGUUAUGCUCCAAUCUCCACUGCUAGCAAAAAUAGGGGCACAACCUCAAGGACCUGACUUCCCAGCUAGAAUUCUUCUUAGGUACUGUUUUUGUGGAUGGGAGAGGAUAGUUGAUAUAGAAGAGAAUCCAAAAGAAACAUUAGUCAAUCAUAUACGUCACAAUUUCAAUGUUUCUAGCGUAUUUCUCUCCAGUAAACCGAGGCCCUUCUUUCCUCACAUAGAACAACAACAAAAGGUUCUCCAUUUUGGUGGUUGCUUCAGAUAAAGUGGUCUAUCACAGUACAAAAGACAUGCCAAUUGAAGGCAAAUGGGAAAUUUGCUAUCUUAAAAAAUCAUCAUAAUCAUUGAAAUUGUCAGAGACAUUCAUAAACAUAUUCUCAGAAAAGGGGGAAAUUGAAAGGAAAAUUUUGGGUAAAUUGGGUAUGCUGUAAAUCAUCAAUCCAGGAGUAUCCAAGACUUGUGAUUGCCAUAAGAAGAACCAAUUAAACCAGAGAAAAAAAAAAAGGAAAAAAAUCAUCAAGAACUGAGGGUUUCAAUCUCACCAAGAUAUCAAGCUUCCCAAACUGGGCUUUGAUGAAAUCUGCAAUGGAAGAAAUACUAGCAGGAUCCCCAACAUCAAGCUGAUGAAAAACCAGAUUAGAGAGACCAGAUCCUUUGAGACUUUCUAGAGCUUCAAGACCCCUCUUCUCAUCUCUAGCUGUUAACACCACUCUCACCCCAUUGGCAGCCAACUGCCUACAUAUUUCCAACCCAAUCCCUUUAUUUGCUCCCGUAACAACUGCAUACCUGAGUCACACCCAAUACACAAGAAAGUAAGAACAACAGUUGUUUUAUAUGUGGUUGGAGAUUGUGAAAAGGGCCAUGGGAUAAAAACCAAGUACCUUGUUGCUGCUUCAGCCAUUGUUGAUGAGAUGGGUACUGUGUUUGAAGUGCGGAAGAAGAUGGAAUUUUUGUUUCAUUGCAAGGUUUGUUGUACUAAAAACAAGAGCAAUGAAGAUUAUUGUAAUGCAUUCGAUUGAGACAGAAAUUACAAUUUACAAGUAGAGUUGUUGUUCCCUUUCUUAUUUUUUGUGGUACUCAUGAUUGGAUAUCGACAAAUUUAACAGGCUUUAGUUUGAAUUGUUUGGCAAAUCAAACUUGGUGUUUGGUAAUUGUUUCUAAAACUGCUAUACUAUAUAACCAAUUUUUUUGAUAAUUCAUUUUAAAAAUAUAAAGUUUUUUAAAAUAGAUUUAAUAUAUUUUUUUUAUCAUUUUGUGUAAAAUAUUAUUAAAAAUUUACCUUUGAUUUUUCAAACACAAUCUUAUUUUAAUUAUUUUUUAAAAUUAUUCUUGAUAAAAAUAAAAUAAAAAUAACAAGCCUUAAAUUUUUUUAUUAUACAAAGUCUAAGGUUAAUUAUAAAUUUAGAUAAAAAAAAUUUCCUACACAAAACAAAGACUUUUAAAAACAAGUAGUAGACUUGGAAGAAAAAAGGAAAAAAUGAAAUUCUAUUUCAUAUAUUAUGAAAGCGUGGGCCUUUUUAUAAUUAUUUCAUUUAUUAUGAAAAUGAGUUUCCUAAAUAUUCCCUUAUAUUACCCAUGUGAUAGAUGGUUUCUCUUCUCAAUUAUUUUGGAUAUCUUUUUAAUUACUCUCUAAUUUCAAAUUAUUUGACAUUAACGAGUUCAACAAGACAAAUUGAAGUUUUGCCCUUUCAAUAUAAGUCCUUAAUUUGAAUUAACUUAUGCAAUUCUUUGAAUAUUUACAAUAUAUAUAUAUAUAUAUAUAUAUAUAUAUAUAUAUAUAUAUAUAUAUAUAUAUAUAUAUAUAUAAGGGUUUGACUUUGACAAACUCUUAUCUCCCUGCCCUUUGCACCUUACCCCUUGAGGAAUCUAUGGGAAAAAAACAAGACACUUGUAAAAAAUAAAACAAUACAUGAUUUAAAUUUAGAACAAGACAGAUGUUGACUCUUCAACAUUUUAAUAGAUAACGAAUUUAUUAUAGGACAAGUUCCAAAAAAUUAAUCAGUUUAUAAAUUUAUUAUAAUCUAAACCUAAUUUUUUAGCAUACAAACCACACCCAAGUUUCUAAAUAUGUAUGUGGUCAUAAAAGCAAUUGCAAAUGCAAGGCAGAUGAUGACGCUCAUGUGAUAAUGAAGAUUGAUUUUUUUCAUAUAGGAAAAUGACAUUGUGACAUCAUGGAUCACGCUUUGGAUAGUAAACUGCGUCUAUGAUGUCACUAAUGACGUUUUUUACAAGUUUCAACCAAUGAAACAUCAUUAAUUUAAUUUUUUUAAUCAUGUCAUGUGGUCAUAUAUAAAAGCAAGCACAAUAUUAUUAUUGUAAUGAAAAUUGAUAUUCUUAUACGAUAUAAUCCAAUGACUAAGUCAAAAAUUAAAUUAGACGGUUGGUUUUCAUUUCUUAUUUUUUUGUGGUACUCAUGAUUGAAUAUAAAUAAAUUUAAUACUAGUUUGAAUUGUUUAAAAAAUAAAACUUAAAAAGAAAAUGGUGUUUCAUAAUUGUAUAACUGUUUUGAGAAUUGUUAUAUGAUGUAAGUAUAUAAUCGUUUUAAAAUUUUUGAAAUAUGGUUUUUUUAGAAAAAAUAUGAAAUGUUUUUCAAUCAAAUCAUUUUUAUGGGUUAUUAUUAAAUAUAAUUGAGAUUAUGACAAGCACGUAUUUGAGAUUUUUUUUACAUUCAAAUUCUUAGAUAUAAUCAUGUUAGAAUUAUUUUUAAGAAUAGUUAUUAAUAAGAUAAAAAUCCCUAAAAUUUUCUAUUAUACUCAUUAAAAAAAAACUCCUUAUUGUAAGGUGAGUAUAUAAGAAAUUGAUUAUAAUUUUAAAAAAAAAAAUCUUCUAUUUUAAAGAGAACAACUUGGUUUUAGAACAAAUACUGAUAAAAACAAGUUUCAAUUGUUCAAGAAUCCAAGAUCACAAGUCAUUAUGCAGUUAGAAAGACAUUCCAACAUAAAAAUUAGUCACCCUACAAAUCUAUGCUCACAUGCCAUAUGUACUAACAAAGCAUUCUAGCAUAAAAAUUAAUCAGUUUAUAAAUUUAUUCUAAUCUAAACCUAAUUUUUUAGCAUACAAACCACACCCAAGUUUCUAAAUAUGUAUGUGGUCAUAAAAGCAAAUGCAAAUGCAAGGCAGAUGAUGACGCUCAUGUGAUAAUAAAGAUUGAUUUUUUUCAUAUAGGAAAAUGACAUUGUGACAUCAUGCAUCACACUUUGGAUAGUAAACUGCGUCUAUGAUGUCACUAACGACGUUUUUUACAAGUUUCAACCAAUGAAACAUCAUUAAUUUAAUUUUUUAUAAUCAUGUCAUGUGGUCAUAUAUAAAAGCAAGCAAAAUAUUAUUAUUGUAAUGAAAAUUGGUAUUCUUAUAUGAUAUAAUCCAAUGACUAAGUCAAAAAUUAAAUUAGACGGUUGGUUUUCAUUUCUUAUUUUUUUGUGGUACUCAUGAUUGAAUAUAAAUAAAUUUAAUACUAGUUUGAAUUGUUUAAAAAAUAAAACUUAAAAAAAAAAUGGUGUUUCAUAACUGUAUAACUGUUUUGAGAAUUGUUAUAUGAUGUAACUAUAUAAUCGUCUUAAAAUUUUUUAAAUAUGGUUUUUUUAGAAUAAAUAUGAAAUGUUUUUAAAUCAUUUUUAUGGGUUAUUAUUAAAUAUAGUUGAGAUUAUGACAAUUACGUAUUUGAGAUUUUUUUUUACAUCAGAUAUAAUCUUGUUAGAAUUAUUUUUAAGAAUAGUUAUUAAUAAGAUAAAAAUCCCUAAAAUUUUCUAUUAUACUAAUUAAAAAAAAAACUCCUUAUUGUAAGGUCAGUAAAUAAGAAAUUGAUUAUAAUUUUUUUUUUAAAAUCUUCUAUUUAAAAAAGAACAAUUUGGUUUUAGAACACUGAUAAAAACUAGUUUCAAUUGUUCAAGAAUCCAAGAUCACAAGUCAUAUGCAGUUAGAAAGACAUUCCAACAUAAAAAUUAGUCACCCUACAAAACUAAACUCACAUGCCAUAUGUACUAACAAAGCAUUCCAGCAUAAAAAUUAAUCAUAAGCAAUUCUGGGUAGUCUUAUUAGCCUAGGAUUCAUACAAAUUAUAGAGAAGCCAUAAACAGUAUCUCUGUGCUAUGAUGUGCUUAGUUCAUAUGUAGUAAUGAAUCUUUUUCAGUUAAAAUUCAGACACUUCCUUCCGAACGAAGAAUUGGCCGGAAGGCCCCCCAUCAGGCAGCAGAGCCAAUCUCACAGGGCUUUCAGCACCUUCUUCGAUAGUUAAGAUGCCACUGUUGUAGUUUAGAUCUGUUUUGACAAAGCCAGGACAGACACAGUUGAUGCAAAGAGUAGGAUACUUCCUGGCCAGAAUCCUUGUGUAGGCAUUCAAGGCUGCUUUUGAGACUGUAUAGGCAGAGAGAUUAGAGGGCCAGCUUUUAGCUUCUAAUAAUCCCUCUUUGAAAUCUUUUAGAAACUGGUUUAAGACCUCAUCCACCCUCUCUUCUGUAAGGUUUUCAGCAUCACUUAACACUGCUUUUGCCCAUUCAUUCUUAAUAUUCUGGAACAACACAACAAGAAAAGUGAUGUAAGCAAAAAUACGACUUGGGGAAAUGCUUCAUUGACUCCCACACAAACAAAAGCCAACAGCUCUUAAUCAUUCACAACAGAUAAUUUCCAGGAAAAUAAGCAAGUUAUGUGCAUUAUAUAAUAGUAUGCAUUACCUCAAUAUUAUUAAUUACACUUACCAAACAGCAUCAAUCAACCCUUUUCUUCAUAUGGUUUUCUUCUAAACAAAUCAAGAUGUGACAAGUAGAUCUUCCAUCACCAAUCUAAAGUUCAAUAAGCUUACAAAAAUAUUUUGCUCUGUUGACUCAAUCAAGGCAUCUUUUGAGUGGAGCUGUAAUGAAAAAUUCACAACGAAACUUGAUCCUUCCAAGUUUCAAACUGAAUCAUUUGGCUCCAAUCCAACUCUACUGAAUUUCAUCAAAUUGCCCAAUUACAAACAUGGUUGAACAUCUUAAGUAUAUAUCAACAUUGUAUUCUGAAUGAGGAUUAGUGUUAUUUUGCACCUGCAGCUUUCCCAUUGAGGAGGAAACAUUGACAAUCCUUGGCGAAUCUGAUAACUGGAGAAGAGGAAUGAAAGCUUCAAUCAUCCUCUUUGGCCCAUAAUAGUUUAUUUUCAGGCAUUCUUCCACCAGCUCGAAAGGCUCAAUCAUUAUUUCCUUCCAAUUGACUUUUCCUACUGCCUGCAAAAUAAAAUGAAGAAAAUCUCAAUCCUCUUGGUAGCCAUUAUAUGCCCUACUCCAACAUAAAAAGAGAAGAAGAAAACUGCUUCUGGUAUGCAACAAGAUUUUCUUCCAUAAUUCUAGUUUCUAGAAAAGAUUUUCAUCUUCCUUUCAAGAGAAGGUAGAAGAAAAACUCAACAGCAUGGGGCCUUAGAAGUCUAAAUGUUGCUCCUUUUCAACUUUCAAAUAUACCCCAAUGGCUAUUAGAAUUUCAAAUCCACUCUUCUUUGAACUUACAGCCACAAUCAAUUGCUUUAAGCCAACAAAGAAAUUGUAUAUGAUACCUUACCUCAGCAGAAGCAAUUCUUGACCUUAAAGCAUCAGGAUCCGUUACAACCGUUCCACCUAUCCCUGCAUUGUUCACCUGUCCAGUAUCACACAUUUCUAUUAUCCAAUUUUUAACUAUAAAAGAACAAAAAAAUAAAGAAAUAUAAAGAAAGUUAUUAGAUACCUUCCAGCUAUUUAGAGGUCCUCCAUUCCUCAAGAAAUAUUCACUUCAAAAAUUUUCAAAGAAUCAUGAUGGAUAAGGAGAGAUUUGUUUUAUCAAGUGCAAACAUAUAUGGAAUUCAUUGGCAAAUCCACCUCAUAAAAGUUUAUGCAACUCCAUAUGGAUUGAUGGAUAUAAAAAAGAGAGAAAAUGAUGGAACCGAGGAGAGUAAAUAGGGCACUGGUUUAUAGUGGAAUAAGUAUAAUGAUAUACAAUCUGGACAUUACACAACACAAAAAUUCUACUUGUAGGAACGGUCACACCAAAGGACACAUGUUAUACGAAGAGACACGAGUCAUUUGGCGGUAGGGAUUUCAAUGGCAAUGACCUAGAAUGACCGCCCUGCUUUGAGGCAACCAUUGCAACAAGAUGUGAACCUGUCCCCUCUUAGGAUGGCAGACAUUGCAUCUAUUGUGAUGAGAUAAACAAUAAAUGCUAUUAACUCCUCCUACAUUGCAUCAGAAGAACCUUUAACAUAAAUUAUGAAGUUAUGAUAGUUAAUCAAGGACAAGAUUAGGUGAUCAAUCACUCAGCUAUAGAAUGGAGCAGACAGCUCAAUAACUGGUGGGAUCAGACCCACCAAAUCAGUGCAACCCUGAAUGAUAUAAAGACCCACAAGGGAAGGGGGAUUUCUCUAUUUUGAAUUCCUUCUCUUACCAAUUUAUCUAUUUAAGCCCUUGAGAUGCCCAUCAUCGACUUGAUCAUCAGAAAAGAAUUGGCCUAACUGGCCUCCCCACUCUAACCAUGCAUUUUAGUGUUAUAGAGGAAGGCUCAUCAAUAAGAAAGGUUAGCAACUUGCUUGGAGGGUGAAACUCUACUCAAACAGAAAACUUUAGUUUUUAACAUGGACUAUGUAGCAUAUAUUUGGAUAAGGUUAUGCUCCAAUCUCCACUGCUAGCAAAAAUAGGGGCACAACCUCAAGGACCUGACUUCCCAGCUAGAAUUCUUCUUAGGUACUGUUUUUGUGGAUGGGAGAGGAUAGUUGAUAUAGAAGAGAAUCCAAAAGAAACAUUAGUCAAUCAUAUACGUCACAAUUUCAAUGUUUCUAACGUAUUUCUCUCCAGUAAACCGAGGCCCUUCUUUCCUCACAUAGAACAACAACAAAAGGUUCUCCAUUUUGGCGGUUGCUUCAGAUAAAGUGGUCUAUCACAGUACAAAAGACAUGCCAAUUGAAGGCAAAUGGGAAAUUUGCUAUCUUCAAAAAUCAUCAUAAUCAUUGAAAUUGUCAGACAUUCAUAAACAUAUUCUCGAAAGAGGGGGAAAUUGAAAGGAAAAUUUUGGGUAAAUUGGGUAUGCUGUAAAUCAUCAAUCCAGGAGUAUCCAAGACUUGUGAUUGCCAUAAGAAGAACCAAUUAAACCAGAGAAAAAAAAAAGGAAAAAAAUCAUCAAGAAAUGAGGGUUUCAAUCUCAC
rnacentral:lncRNA from 1 species